ACUCUACAAUGCAGGCAACUGCGAUAGGGGAACAUCGAGUGGCACCCACCAUGGGUGUCUGUCCAACCGUCUAAAAAACGGUUGUUAGCAAGGGCCGGGUAAGACCGGUGCCAGCCGCCGCGGUAAUACCGGCGGCUCGAGUGGUGGCCGAUAUUAUUGAGUCUAAAGGGUCCGUAGCUGGCUUUGCAAGUCCCCUGGGAAAUCCAGCGGCUUAACCGUUGGGCUUUCAUGGGAUACUACAUUGCUUGGGACUGGGAGAGGUAGGAGGUACUCAGGGGGUAGGG
rnacentral:rRNA from 1 species